UAAGUAUAUAUAUUAGGAAUAUUUUCAUUAUAGAUAAUUAAGAAAAAAAAUACUAUUCUAAAAAAACAUAUAUGUUUAAUAUGUAGAAUUAUAUAU